AGAUUGAACGCUGGCGGCGUGCCUAACACAUGCAAGUCGAGCGGUAACAGGCGUAGCAAUACGUGCUGACGAGCGGCGAACGGGCGAGCAAUGCUUCGGAAUCUGCCCAAUGAUGGGGAAUAACCAGUCGAAAGAUUGGCUAAUACCGCAUACGCCCUACGGGGGAAAGCGGGGGUCGCAAGACCUCGCGUCGAUGGAUGAGCCGAAGUCGGAUUAGCUAGUUGGUAGGGUAACGG
rnacentral:rRNA from 1 species